rnacentral:rRNA from 1 species
GAGGCGACGAUGCGUAGGGGUUCUGAGAGGAAGGUCCCCCACACUGGUACUGAGACACGGACCAGACUCCUACGGGAGGCAGCAGUGAGGAAUAUUGGUCAAUGGGCGCGAGCCUGAACCAGCCAAGUCGCGUGAGGGAUGACGGUCCUACGGAUUGUAAACCUCUUUUGCCGGGGAGCAAGCGUGCGUUCGUGAACGCGCGUCGAGAGUACCCGGAGAAAAAGCAUCGGCUAACUCCGUGCCAGCAGCCGCGGUAAUACGGAGGAUGCGAGCGUUAUCCGGAUUUAUUGGGUUUAAAGGGUGCGUAGGCGGGAUGCCAAGUCAGCGGUAAAAAUGCGGUGCUCAACGCCGUCGAGCCGUUGAAACUGGCGUUCUUGAGUGGGCGAGAAGUAUGCGGAAUGCGUGGUGUAGCGGUGAAACGCAUAGAUAUCACGCAGAACUCCGAUUGCGAAGGCAGCAUACCGGCGCCCUACUGACGCUGAGGCACGAAAGCGUGGGUAUCGAACAGGAUUAGAUACCCUGGUAGUCCACGCAGUAAACGAUGAAUGCUAACUGUCCGGCUCGAAUGAGCGCUGG